UACGUAGGGUGCGAGCGUUAAUCGGAAUUACUGGGCGUAAAGCGUGCGCAGGCGGCUUCGCAAGUCAGACGUGAAAUCCCCGGGCUUAACCUGGGAAUGGCGUUUGAAACUACGGAGCUGGAGUGUGGCAGAGGGAGGUAGAAUUCCACGUGUAGCGGUGAAAUGCGUAGAUAUGUGGAGGAAUACCGAUGGCGAAGGCAGCCUCCUGGGCCAACACUGACGCUCGAUGCACGAAAGCGUGGGGAGCAAACAGG
rnacentral:rRNA from 1 species